AUGAAGAAUAAGAUCAGUUUCACUGCCGAAACCUCCAGCAACACAGUUUUCUUACGAGGUCAAAGCUUUCAGACUGAGGACACAGCUGUUGUGCUCACACAGUCUGAGCAGUCAGUAACUGUGUCUCCAGGUGGAUCUGUUAAACUGACCUGUGCAUGUAGUGGAUUCACUCUUAGUAGCUAUAGGAUGCACUGGAUCCGUCAGGUCCCUGGAAAAGGACUGGAAUGGAUCUUACACUAUUAUUCAGACUCUAACAAAGGCUCAGCUCAGUCAGUGCAGGGCAGAUUCACAGCAUCUAAGGACAGCUCUAAUCUCUAUCUGCAUAUGAAUCAGCUGAAGACUGAAGACACUGCAGUGUAUUACUGUGCAAGAGACACAGUGGAAACACAAAUACAGGCAGCUGUUCAAAAACUCAUCGUGAGAAAUUAG